ensembl:lncRNA
UUUUUUUUUUAAUUUUUUAUUUUGCUUUUUAGGGCUGCACUCACAGCAUAUGGAACUUCCCAGGCUAGGAGUUGAAUCAGAGCUACAGCUGCUGGCCUAUAGCACAGCCACAGCAACAGCAACUCGGGAUCCGAGCUGUGUCUGCGAAUUACACCACAGCUCACCGCAAUGCGGAAUCCUUAACCUACUGAGCGAGGCCAGGGAUGGAACCAACAUUGUCAUGGAUCCUGGUCGGGUUCAUUAACUCCUGAGCCACGAAGGGAAUUCCCGUAAGGAUUUUUUUUUUUCCAUUUCAUUUCAUUUAUUUCUUUUUCUCACUUCCUCAGUUCCACUGCCCUACUGGUGAGUUGAAUGGGGGGGGUGCAGAAGAGAGAUGAGAAAAGACAAAAUUUGGGAGCAAAUAUGUUUAAAUAAAACUUCCUCCUGUAUUAAUGUUUCUAGACCACAGAAAAAGAGCUUCUGUGUAUAUACACUGACAAAUCACUUAAAAGAAAAUAGAAGUGGUACAGACGCAUUGGAAAAAAAAUGUUCAAUUUCAUUAAUGAAAGAAAUGCAAAUUGAAAUGACUUUUAACAUUUUCAAACCACUUAAAUAACAAUGAUUUUGUGUGUGUUUUUUUGUUUGUUUGUUUGUUUCUGCUUUUUAGGGCCAUACCCGAGGCACGUGGAGGCUUCCAGGCUAGGGGUCUAAUCAGAGCCACAGCUGCUGGCCUAUGCCACAGCCACAGUGAUGCCAGUUCUGAGCCACGUCUGCGACCUACACCACAGCUCAUAGUCGGAUUCAUUUCUGCUGAGCCACAACGGGAACUGCACAAUGAUAUUUUUUAACAAUGUUAAUUCUCACUGUUGGUUAGGCUAGGAUAUAUUUAUAUUAUAUUUCUAUAUAAUAUAUGUAUUUUAUGUAUUAUAUACAAUAUAUAUUUUACAUGUACAUAUGUGUGUGUGUAUACACAUAUAUAUAGAUUCUAUAUUCUAUCCCUUUAGCAGGAAGAUGAACAGAUACAGACUUUCUGAACAUCAUUUGGCAAAAUACAUUUCAUCCAUUCGACACUCUAUGUCCACUUUUAGGAAAACAUUUUUCUUAAGGAAACAAAGUUUUAUAUCAAAAGAUAUUCACCACAUCAUUAUUUAAAAUAGCCAGAAACAUAUAAGAAAGAAAAGAAAAUUACUACAAACAGCUUAAAUGUUCAAUAAGAUAAUCAUUCCAAAGAUUAUGAUGUAUCUUUAUAAAGUGAUCUAUAAAGUAGUUUUUUUAAAAACUAUGUUUGUAAAGUAUUUGUAACAUUGGAAAAUGGUUGUAAUAAGGUUAAAUGAGAAAAAAAAAUAGUAUCUAAACUUGUAUAUCCAGCAGAACCUAAACUAUUAUAGGCCUUAGAAUGCUAGCCAUUCCUGUGGUUCCUUCUAAGGGUCUCUUAUCCAGUGAUAUUUCCAGCAGGGCCAGGGGCAGAAAUCUGACCAAGGGGAAGCCAAUUUAUCUGCAGGAUGGUCAGCAGGGAAGGCAGUGGUUAACGGAGACACGCAGAGAGGCUGAACUUGAGGCCCAGGGAGAGAAAAGCAGUUGGAGGCAGAGGAGAGGUGACGAGGGGUAGUGUCUCCAUCACAGUGGUUACGGAAGCAGUGUAUUAGUUAUCUGCUGCUGCGUAACAAACCGCCCCCAAACUUAGUGCCUUAAAACAGGAAAAAAAGAAAAAAAAAGAAAGAAAGAAAGAAAGAAAACCUUGUUCACAAAUCUACAAUUUGUGAGCAGGGCUUAGUGAGGACAGUUGGUGUUUGUUCCGUGAGAAGAGUCAGCUCGGGAAGUGCAGCUGGAGGCCAGAAGAUCCGGUUUCAACAGGGCUCAACAGAGGCUCACCCGUGUGGCUGGCACAUGUGGGCUGGCCACUAGCUGUGGGCUGCGGGCCUUGGUUCUUCUCCACAUGGGCCUCUCCGUGGACUUCCUCACGCACAGUAUGAGGAAGUAUAUGGCAUUUUCAUGACCUAGACCUAGAAGUCAAAGAGUGACUUUCAGCAGACUGUUAGCCCAGGUGGUUAGGACAGUCAUACCACUGUCAAAGGGAAUGCAGGCACCGUGGCAUGCUGUGAUCAAACAGUGAUUAGCACUCUGCGUUGUGGCUGCAGCAACCUCGGUUCAAAUCCAAGUCACGGCACUCAGGGUGGGCGCUUUUCAUGUGCCCUCCUUCUACUUUCUAAAACAGGAGGAGAUGGCCUUGCCUUCCAUUGUGCAGUGGUGGUAUAGUGGUGGGCAUAGCUGCCUUCCACUUUCAAAAGGAGGGAUCAUAGACUCCGCUUCUUGUUAGAGGAAUGGCAGGGUUCUAGCGGAGGACGUAGAACUGGAGAUAUUUUUGCAGCCACUUUUGGAAAACAAGGUCUGUCGCAAGCAUAUAGGGUUAAUAAAUGAAAGGGGACUGAGUAACCUGGUUGCUAAAACUGUGGCUUCGGGGCCCUGAGUGACCCAAAGUUUCAGAGGAACUUUCUAGACACCACGGGACCGUCUGUUCUUUCCUGGGGUCUCAUGAUGGCAGACCUGAAUAAACUUCCAUUAUUUAAUGGAAACUACUUAAGGUAACUUUAGCAAAUCUUCCAUCCUUGCAAGCAAAAGUGGAAAAAAGAAGCAAAAAGGGCAACAAAUCCAGCUAUCCAGAGACAUUUAAGAUUUCAAUUAUAGAAAGAAAAAAUUAAUGGAAGGAAGACUAGAAAUAAAUGUGUUGAGAUGUUAACAGUAGUUGCAUCUGAGUGGUAGUUUUUUAGGUGAUUUGAUUUAUCCCUUUAUGCUUAUUUAAAAAACGCUAAAGACCAAAAAGCACUGAAAAACUUAAUUUACAAAAGAAAUAAGAUUCCUCACAUGUGUAAGUUCACACGCACACACACACGCACACACUCUACUACCACCUCAUACAAAUCUAUUCAUCAGAGGUUCUUUUACUAACCUUCCAUAGAGUCUGUGACUUUCCCCCAUUCAAAACUGAAACCUGUGGAGUUCCCUUUGUGGCUCAGUGGUUAAUGAACCCAACUAGGAACCAUGAGGAUGCAGGUUAGAUCCCCAGCCUCACUCCGUGGGUUAAGGAUCCAGAGUUGCCGUGAGCUGCAGCAUAGGUUACAGAUUUGGCUUGGAUCCUGCAUUGCUGUGGCUGUGGUAUAGGCUAGCAGUUGUAGCUCUGGUUCGACCCCUAGCCUGGGAACUUCCAUAUGCCAUGGGUGCGUUCCUAAAAAAGAAAAGAAAAAAACCAAACAACCAAACUAAAAAAAAAAAACCCUGAAAUCUGUUCUCUUUAUCCUCAAUAUCCACUUUUAGGUAUAUUUCCAAGGCUGUGUAAGCUGUAUGUUUGCUGAGAAGUUCAAAGCAUUCUAGGUACUUUAAUGGUCAAAAUGGCUGGGGGGAACGGCGUGGGCUCAGCAGACAUAAAGGGUCUGUGACACUUGUCUUUCCCUGUACAGUCUCAGGAGGCCUGCUACUUCCUAGUGAGGCGUUGCUUUAAGAUUUGCCCUAUUUUCAUCUCCGUGAGGAAGUCUCAGACAAACAAGGUCAUAUCUUGGAUGCAGCCCUGUUAGCACAUUCUCUUCCCUCAUUUAUUUUGACAAGAAUUAAUCUUUUCUGUGCAGUACACAAACUGUCCUGAUGUGGGUAGUUGGACAAUAGAAGAAGUGGUAGCAGCAUCUCUGCAGAGUCAUCUAGUGUCACGUGUUCUUUCUGAACGUACCUUCUAAUGGAUCACAUAAGCACAAAGGGAAGGCAGCAAUUAAUUUUUCUUUGGUCACUGCCCUUACUGAAGAAGCUUCACCCGUGAGGUCUAUGCCUGCUGGCACAGGACAAGAGCCAGCCCUGCCAGAAAGAAGAGUCCCUUAGCAAGAUCAUGUUUGUGUGGCAGAAAAGUGAGAUUUGGUGCUAAGAUAUUUUAGUUCUUUUGAAGUCCUUGGGGGAAACUCAGGAAAUAAAGAGUUGUAACUUCAGCUACAAUUCAACAGACAUAGAAUGUAGAAUUGCAACUAAUGGUUCUAGGCUCUGAGGAGGCAACACUCUUUAAGACACAAUUUGUACACCCGGAGAGCUCAUUGUAGUGGGGGAGACAGAGACAAAGAAAUGAAAGCUGUGUGAUAAAUACUGAAAGUGUGUACGAGGGAUGGAGAUGCCACAGAGGAGGAAGUGAUGAAUUCUGGAGAGUUCAGGAAGGCUUUCCGAAGGAAGUGGUGCCCGCGAUUUAGAAGGAUGGUAGGAGUUAGCUCUGCAAACAAGGUGGAGAAAGGGAGGUUAUUUCAGACAGAAGAAACACUAUCUGCAAAGGCACAGAUAGCCCAUCUGUACAGGGAAGGCGGUGAGACCCAGAGUUAAGGUAAACUGGAAGGAAAUUGUGAGGUCAAGAGCCUGAAGAUAUUAAUGAAGUCUUCUUAAAAAUCGAGAUAUGAUUCACAAACAUAAAAUUUGCCCUUUUAAGAUAUCCUUAAAAGUGGUUUGGAGUAUAUUCCCAGGGUCGUGUAACCAUCACCACUACGUAGUUCUGGAACAUUUCAUCCCUCCAAACCCUCUAUUCAUUAGCAAUUGCUCUGCUUUCCCCUCCUACUGGGUUGCUUUUGGAAAACACUAAGUUGCUUUCUGUUUCUAUGGAUUUACUUAGUCUGGACACUUCUCUUUCUCUCUCUCUCUCUUUUUUAAUGUUUUCCAUUAUAGCUGGUUUACAGUGUUCUGUCAAUUUUCUACUGUACAGCGAGGUGACCCAGUCACACACACGUAUACAUUCUUUUUUGUCACAUUAUCAUGCUCCAUCAUAAGUGACUAGAUAUAGUUCCCAGUGCUAUACAGCAGGAUCUCAUUGCUUAUCCAUUCCAAAGGCAAGAGUUUGCAUCUAUUAACCCCAAGUUCCCAGUCCAUCCCACUCCCUCCCCGUCCCUCCUGGCAACCACAAGUCUAUUCUCCAAGUCCAUGAUCUUCUUUUCUGUGCAAAGGUUCAUUUGUGCCAUAUAUUAGAAUCCAGAUAUAAGUGAUAUCAUAUAUGGAGUUCUCGUCGUGGCUCAGUGGUUAACGAAUCCGACUAGGAACUGAGAGUUUGCGGGUUCGAUUCCUGGCCUUGCUCAGUGGGUUACGGAUCCGGCGUUGUGGUGAGCUGUGGUGUAGGUCGCAGACGGCUCAGAUCCUGCGUUGCUGUGGCUCUGGUGAAGGCUGGGGGCUACAGCUCCGAUUAGACCCUCAGCCUGGGAACCUCCAUAUGCUGCUGGUGCGGCCCUAUGAAAGGCAAAAAGACAAAAUAAAUAAAUAAAUAAAUAAUAUCAUAUGAUAUUUGUCUUUCUCUUUCUGACUUUUCUCACUUAGUAUGAGUGUCUCUAGUUCCAUCCACGUUGCUGCAAAUGGUAUUAUUUUGUUCUUUUUCAUGGCUGAGUAGUAUUCCAUUGCAUAUUAUAUACCACAUCUUCUUUUUUUUUUGUCUUUUUGCCAUUUCUUAGGCCACUCCCGUGGCAUAUGGAGGUUCCCAGGCUACGGGUCGAAUCGGAGCUGUAGCUGCCAGCCUACGCCAGAGCCACAGCAACGCGGGAUCCGAGCGGCGUCUGCGACCUACAUCACAGCUCACGGCAACGCCAGAUCUUUAACCCACUGAGCAAGGGCAGGGAUUGAACCCGCAACCUCAUGGUUCCUAGUUGGAUUCGUUAACCACUGCGACACGAUGGGAACUCCGCUAUACCACAUCUUCUUAAUCCAUUCAUCUGUCCCUGGACGUUUAGGUUGUUUCCAUGUGUUGGCUGUUGUGAGUAGUGCUGCAAUGAACAUGUGGGCAUGUGUCUUUUUCAAGGAAAGUUUUGUCCGGAUAUAUGCCCAAGAGUGGGAUUGCUGGGUCACAUGGCAUAUAUGGAGUCCUAUAACAUGUGGCCUUUGUAUCUGGCUUCCUUCUCUUAGUAUAAUGUUUUCAAAUUUCAGCUAUUACUUCAUGACUUUUAUGGUUGAAAAAUAUUCCAUUGUAUGGAUAGAUCAUAUUUUGUUAAUCAGUUAACAGGCAGUUGGGUUGUUUUCAUCUUUUGGCUGUUAUGAAUAACAGUCUUUAUGAUUCUUUAGUAUGACACAUUUUCACAUCUCUUAGGUAUAUGUCUAGAAAUAGCACUUCUGGGUCUUAUGAUCACUCUAUGUUUAGGGUAUUUUUGAGGAACUAUUAAACUCUUUUUCAAAGUAACUGUGCCAUUUUAUAUUUCUGUGAGCAAUCACGAGGUGUUCCAAUUUCUUCACAUUCAGCCAACACACGUUAUCUAUCUUCUCCCCCACCCCUUUGAUUCUGUUUUCUUCUCUUUUUUUUUCAAUUUAUUUUUGUCUUUUUAUGAUAGCUACCGAUCACAUGGGUUUGAAGUGAUACUCAUUGUGGUUUUGAUUUGCAUUUCCCUGAUGACUAAUGAUGUUAAAUAUCUCUUCGUGUGCUUAUUGGACAUUGGUAAAUAUUCUUUGCUCAUUUUUCACUUGGGUUAUCUUAUUGUUCUUGAUUUAUAAGAGUUCUCUAUAGAUCUUGAAGAGCAGACCUUAUAAGAUACAUGAUUUCCAAAUAUUUUCUCCCUUUCUGUGGGUCGUAUUUUCACUUUCUUAGUAAUGUGCUGUGAAGCACAAACAGUUUCAGUUUUGAUGCAAUCCAGUGGAUCUAUUCUUUCUUUGGUUGCCAGUGCUCC